UUGCAUGGUGUUCUGGGAAAGCCUUUGCGGCAUGGGAUGGGGUCGCGUCCUAUCAGCUUGAUGGCGGGGUAACGGCCCACCAUGGCUUCGACGGGUAGCCGGCCUGAGAGGGCGACCGGCCACAUUGGGACUGAGAUACGGCCCAGACUCCUACGGGAGGCAGCAGUGGGGAAUAUUGCACAAUGGGCGCAAGCCUGAUGCAGCGACGCCGCGUGAGGGAUGGAGGCCUUCGGGUUGUAAACCUCUUUUGUUAGGGAGCAAGGCACUUUGUGUUGAGUGUACCUUUCGAAUAAGCACCGGCUAACUACGUGCCAGCAGCCGCGGUAAUACGUAGGGUGCAAGCGUUAUCCGGAAUUAUUGGGCGUAAAGGGCUCGUAGGCGGUUCGUCGCGUCCGGUGUGAAAGUCCAUCGCUUAACGGUGGAUCCGCGCCGGGUACGGGCGGGCUUGAGUGCGGUAGGGGAGACUGGAAUUCCCGGUGUAACGGUGGAAUGUGUAGAUAUCGGGAAAGAACACCA
rnacentral:rRNA from 1 species